GCUUGCUACCUGACCUAGCGGCGGACGGGUGAGUAAUGCUUAGGAAUCUGCCUAUUAGUGGGGGACAACAUUCCGAAAGGAAUGCUAAUACCGCAUACGCCCUACGGGGGAAAGCAGGGGAUCUUCGGACCUUGCGCUAAUAGAUGAGCCUAAGUCAGAUUAGCUAGUUGGUGGGGUAAAGGCCUACCAAGGCGACGAUCUGUAGCGGGUCUGAGAGGAUGAUCCGCCACACUGGGACUGAGACACGGCCCAGACUCCUACGGGAGGCAGCAGUGGGGAAUAUUGGACAAUGGGCGAAAGCCUGAUCCAGCCAUGCCGCGUGUGUGAAGAAGGCCUUUUGGUUGUAAAGCACUUUAAGCGAGGAGGAGGCUACUUGGAUUAAUACUCUAGGAUAGUGGACGUUACUCGCAGAAUAAGCACCGGCUAACUCUGUGCCAGCAGCCGCGGUAAUACAGAGGGUGCGAGCGUUAAUCGGAUUUACUGGGCGUAAAGCGUGCGUAGGCGGCUUUUUAAGUCGGAUGUGAAAUCCCUGAGCUUAACUUAGGAAUUGCAUUCGAUACUGGGAAGCUAGAGUAUGGGAGAGGAUGGUAGAAUUCCAGGUGUAGCGGUGAAAUGCGUAGAGAUCUGGAGGAAUACCGAUGGCGAAGGCAGCCAUCUGGCCUAAUACUGACGCUGAGGUACGAAAGCAUGGGGAGCAAACAGGAUUAGAUACCCUGGUAGUCCAUGCCGUAAACGAUGUCUACUAGCCGUUGGGGCCUUUGAGGCUUUAGUGGCGCAGCUAACGCGAUAAGUAGACCGCCUGGGGAGUACGGUCGCAAGACUAAAACUCAAAUGAAUUGACGGGGGCCCGCACAAGCGGUGGAGCAUGUGGUUUAAUUCGAUGCAACGCGAAGAACCUUACCUGGUCUUGACAUAGUAAGAACUUUCCAGAGAUGGAUUGGUGCCUUCGGGAACUUACAUACAGGUGCUGCAUGGCUGUCGUCAGCUCGUGUCGUGAGAUGUUGGGUUAAGUCCCGCAACGAGCGCAACCCUUUUCCUUAUUUGCCAGCGGGUUAAGCCGGGAACUUUAAGGAUACUGCCAGUGACAAACUGGAGGAAGGCGGGGACGACGUCAAGUCAUCAUGGCCCUUACGACCAGGGCUACACACGUGCUACAAUGGUCGGUACAAAGGGUUGCUACCUAGCGAUAGGAUGCUAAUCUCAAAAAGCCGAUCGUAGUCCGGAUUGGAGUCUGCAACUCGAC
rnacentral:rRNA from 1 species